rnacentral:lncRNA from 1 species
GUCCACUUCUGCACGGACCAUCAACGGAGCAGUUUCUUCAGAUACCAUCCUUUUUUUUUUUUUUUAAAUGUUAGAAAUCUUUCACUAAUUAAUCAAGGUUUCACAUGAAUGCCUAUCUUCUACCUGACAGCCAAAGUCAUAGAAAGAGGAAAAAUACAGAGUAGGUUCUACCUAAAGUCUGCCCUGCGGCUAUUUAAACAGAUACAGAAUGACCAAAUCUGGAGACACGUAUUUAAAAUAUUCCUUCUAUCUCCCCCUCCUUCUGUGAAAGAUAUCUGAAUGCAUUCGGCCCACAGCCUGUUAAAGUUUUUUUUUUUUUUUUUGAGGCGGCCAGACUUGGAACACUCAGGAAUACAGACAGACGUAGGAAUUGCUUAAAAACAAGAAGUUCUCCCACCCUUGUUGGAGCGAAUGCGCGAGUCUGACAGUGAACCUUUUGGGAAAGAGCCAGCAUUGUAACCGUGCUCGGUGACUUCUCUGGCUUUAUAGGGAACAGAUGUGAGGAUAGCAAGGGGCGCACACGUGAAAUGCCUGGCAGGUACCCCUUUGUGGCUCUACUUACUUCUUGCCAUUCCUCUGCCCUCCAAGUGUAGAGGGGACACCGUGGGCCUUGGCAGUCGCGUUCCGACUCCGGUCUGGUGUAUGGGUUGCACUCGGUCUCUCUGGCUAUUUUGUGUGUUCCGAUCUGACAGCCCACAUGCCUCUGCUGUACGCCUCGGCCACAGGACACAGAGCACUAAGAAGACAGAGAACCGCCAGUUUGGAUAAUAUCUCAAGGCUUAAUAGGGAAGGAAGGUGGCAUUGAAAAAAAAAAUGUCCACAGCAUUACAGCAGCAAUCCUGUGUGGCAUUUUUGGCUCACUCAAGAGUGUGGGUAAAUCCUGAGAAUUGGAGCCAAAAAUAAAGCUCAUGAACCUGAAAUUACCAUGAAAUUCUGAUUUUAAGAAGUCCUACUAUGAAAUAGUGAUAUAUUUCUUCAACAAAAUGCCUGUGAUUCACUGACUGGGAUAAAGGUGCAUUUCCAAAAUACAACUAUGUUCAAUUUCUUAAUUAAAUGAUUUAAGAAUAAAACUCUUGAACCAUUUUCCAGAGGAUAAGCUCUCGUUUUCCCAGUCCACUGGGAAGAGGUGAAAAAGGCACGUUAGAAACUGAAAGGUAAGCUAGCAGGAAUAUGGAAAGAGAAAUUCUGCUGUGAGAAAUUCAUAGAACUACCUGGCAGAAAAGGAAGGGUGAUAUUGCCUCCCAGGGAACAUUUGGCAACGUCUGAAGAUAUUUUUCACUGUCACAACCGAGGGGAUUCACAGUCUGGUGAGACAAGUUUGAGAUCUCAUAUUUUCAGCUCAUCCUUGAAAACCUUUCUUCGAUUUGACUGACCUUGAUGGCUCCCUGGAAUCUCACCUACAUUUUAUGGGAAAUUCAACUCUCCAGAGAGAAGAGCUUUCAGAUAGCUGCGGGACUUGCAACUGUGACUUUCAGCUUUCGCUUUUGAAUGAGGCUCCAAAUGUCUCAAUGGUGGCACUAUUUCCAGAUUUGGGAGCCCUGCAAAGCUAAUCUGCUCAACCUUCACCUACUGGGUUCAAUGAAUAUGAAAAGCUGCCUUCCUGAAACUUUUCCUUCAAAGAGGGAAUGAUCUCCUGGAAUUCAAGCUUCUACAAGGUGGCUACCUGGUGUUUUCCACUUUUGCCGUCUCCUAAAAAGCAUCAUUCAAGCCUUGCCCUUUCAACCCACUGAACACAUAAACAUGCUUUCUCCUUAACUGAACUUAUGGCCACGAUGAACUUGAACUCUGAGAUUCACAGAGGAGAGUUUGUUUUAACAGCUGCUUUUACAAUGAAGCCCUGGAGUUACUACUCUCAAGACCCCUGGUUCUGAUAGGCCAUCUUUUCACUGUCCUCUGCAUUUUCUAAUGCCCAGCUGUCAAGGAACACCCACUGAAGUUUUCCAAAACAAAGGCACGAAACACAAGAAAGGCAAGAGAAUGCUAAUCACCAGAUGCAUGGGCAUCCUAUGGGGGAACCCCUUACAUGUGGAAUACGGUUUUUCUCCCCAAUUUAUUUUUAUAAAUUUAUUGAUUUCUUUGCUAGUUUGUUAUUAAUUGUUAGAGAUGUCCUGUUGCCUGAGGUUGCCCUGUCCGAUAUGGUAGCCACCAGCGACAGGUAGCUAUUUAGAGUAAUUUAAAAAUUACAUUAAAAAUGCAGUUUCCUUGUCACUUAACCAUGUUUCAAGUGCUCAGUAUUAACCACAUGUGACUAGUGGCUUCCAUAAAGGAAGGCAAAAAUAGAGAACAUUUACAUCGCUGCAGAAAGCUACUAGAUUUUUUUGGCCAAGGCAUAAGCUCUUUCUCAUAAGAGAAAGGGGAUGCAGAUCUUGCUAAGAGUGAUGGAUUUCUGGGUUCAGCCUACAUGAGUCAUCUUCCAUACUACCCCUGGACAUGCUUUCCUUGGCUGCCAAUUUUCUAUUUUAUAAAUUUCAGGAAAGAGAGAUUAUGGUUGUUAAAACCAUUCAUGACAAUGAUCCCACUUUAGAGAAAACAACAGCAACAAGCAAAGAAGAUGGUGUGGAGAUCCGCACAUUCCACAUCUUUUAAUUGGUACCCAUUAAAUAACAAAGGGAAAAAGUACCCUCAGACCACAACUCUCCACCUUGUGUGGAGGCCAAGGACCCAGCAGGGAGAAGGCAGAAGAUUAGGUUCUCCACUCAUCCUGGCUCUCAGACCACUGAACUCACAUUUGGGUUCUAAUGGAAUGGUGAUUGGAAGCAUAUUCUCCAAUAGGAGGUUUUUAAAAGUUCUGUGCCAUCAGCCAGGCAGCAUCUGUCAUUUAAAAUGACUGGCCAGUUGCACGUUUAAAAGCAAAGAUAAAAUUGCUAAUUUAUACUUACUGAAUAAACAUCAGCAGUAUCCAUGAAGGUACCUACCCUAAUAGCAAGUUGUAUUUUUAUUUUUAUGGUGGUGGCGAAGCUGCCAGGAAAACCAAAGCAUCAGUUCUUUAAUUACAUUUGUUUAGUAUUGAUUUAAUACUAAAAUUUCUCUUGCUCCCUUAGAACAAAGAGCUCUAACUUGUACACUGCUGUAUCCUUAGCACCUGGAACAGUCCCUGGCCUACAAUAGGCACUUAGAAAGUAUUUGUUAAAAAUUGAUUUUUUUUUUUUAAAGAAACAACCCAGAGUUUUUUUAUUCUGCCCCAACCCCCAACCCCUGGCAUUAAAAUAAAUCUUCCUCAACUGCCAUCACUAAUCGCCAGGAUUCCCUCCUAGCCAAUUAUGCUUGGACUCAACCUCUACCUCCCACUCCACAUUCCAAAGUUUCUAUUUCUUUCCAUUCCAGAAGGGCAACUCCACAACAGGAGUGAGGGAGAGGACCUGGACUCCUCCUCAGAGUCCAAUAACACUCCUAACCCUGCUCCCCCAACCUGUGGACUUUUUAAAUCCAUGAAAAUAGAACCUGUCAAGCUACCACAAAAUAGCAUCAGAAGGCAGGAUCAGUCUUUCAUAGGCAUACAAUCUCUGUAAAUACUGAAAAAAGAUUAUUAAAAGCCUGCUAAGUUUUGUCUCCAGUGAAAUAGAUGCAGGCAAGUAUUUUGAUUGUUCUGAACACAUUAGAGAUGAGUGCUACACAGAACUAAGGUAAACUUUGUAAAUUCGUAUGUCAUAACACUUUGUUCCACAAAAAACUAUCUUAUUUUUUAUACUCCAUACUGAUACAGCCAAAUAAUGUGGCUCUUAUUUUCUAAAGAUGCCAGCAAUAUGUUUAAACAUGUCUUCAUUGUAGUAAAAGUAUCAUAUUUAUAAAAAAUACAUAUGCAUUUAAUGUGAUAUUCCUUAUAGUCAAAAUCUUGAUAUCAUCCUGUUAAUCUGGCUAAAAAUGUAUCUGUAAAAUGAAAGAGAGGAAUAUUUUGCCAUUCCCUAAACAACAGUUGUUUGAAGCUUUUGUAAUUGCUGGUUAUGGGAAUUUACCAAUAACAGGAAUGAAUUUGGAUUUUCUUUUGCUGGAAUCAAAUGGACAAUGUCAUAAUUAGCUAAAUAAUGUUGAGGCUAAAUGAAGUUUGAGUUUUAGGCACAUCCUUUAUGGAAUAUAAACAGGAACCUAAAAGUUCAUUCUGAACAUAGGUUGUUUCUUUCUGCCAAAACAAGAUUAAUAGUCAGUACCCUAACGACAAGGUCCUAUCACUGAAGUAGAUUAUCGGCUAGUCAAAUGGGUUCCUAACAGCACCUCCCUCAUGGGUUAAAACAAGAGGGUUAAUGUGAUGUGUAUUUGCUUAAUUUGGCUUGUUAUACAGUAAACACACAGCAAACGUUAGCUAUUGUUAUCUUCAUUUCCUUUGGAGAAGUUAUCUUAUUUCUCACCUUAUUAAAAAUAAACCCUAACUCAUACAGGGACCCUCCUUACCUUGGUCCUUUCACCCAUGAAUACCAUAAUAACCUAUACUGCAAAAAGGAGGCUCAGGAGGAGGAUGAGGUAUCAAUAGGCCUCCGGGUCAUUUUUAUGAUUUAGGUAUUUUUUGAAAAGGGUAGGCUCUCUUGAAACUUCCAAGGUAGUUGUUGUAGUAUUUUAUUUUCCUUUCAUAAGAAAUGCUUUCUGAAAUGUAUUGCAGUGAACAAAUAACAAAAUUGACAAAUGCUGUAAGCCUUUUACAGUUAUCUGAACACACAGAAUAAAGUGUAAUCAAAUUUGUGCACAUUAGGUUUGCUUUUUCCUGUACCUAGCUGUCUCUUAUGUGUUCAGAACCAUUUCUUCCAAUCACCUUUUUUUGUCUUCUGGCUAUAAUUUAUCAUUAUCUACAAAUUCAAUAAAUGGAGCAUGCAUAUUUCAUAGUUGAGAUUCAAUAAUUCAGGACAACAGUACUAGAAAAGAAAAAAUACCCAACAAAAUAUUAAGCCUCAUAUAUUUUUGUUUAUAAAUCUAAGCAUCAUUUCCAACUCAGAAAUAUGUUUUUAAAGUAUCCCUUUAAAAUACAUACUUGAAGCUGUCUAAUUACACAAAGCUAGAUACUUGGCUACUCAGAUUUGAGGGAGGGGUUGUACAGGUUGGAGGGAAUUUACAAAAUUAAAAUGUAUCUUUUUAAAACCAAAAGAAACAUAUACAUUCAUUUCUAAUCCACAGAGCCUACUUGCCUUUACAGUCUGCUGAUAAACACUGAUUUUUUAAACAUUGUAUAUAAAAUUAAAUAACAUGAAAAAAUAAAUAUGCUUUAUUAUAUAACACAUAGAAAUCUGUACUGCUCAAAAUAUUCAGAAAAUUCUAGGUGUGGCUGCUUAAAACUGUGUUUAGAAAAUAUGGUAGUGAUAUUUACAAUCUUUAUUUCUUCUAGGGAGAGAAGCAGUGAGGUUAUAAAAUACUGGUAUCAAACAUUUUCUCUUCCUACCUACAGAAGCUGCAAACUUUAAUACGAAAAUGAGGUAGACAAAAAUUCAUAAGUUAGCCAGGCAGAAACAAAAGCACAAUUCCUUCAUGAGCUCAUAAAUUCUCAUUACUUGGGUCGACAAGCAUUAUUCCAAUGCACCUAAAGCAAGGCUCAGAGAACAUUUUUAGGUUUGUCAUGAAAAACCCGAACAAGCAAUUUCUCCUAAGGAGAAGCACAGUUUCCAAGGUGAUCAGCAAGCAGGUUGACAGGGCAAUGCACAAAGGAACACCGAAGACCCAUCUUGGAUACAUGGUAUCACCUAGCAGACUUUUAAUCUGUGAUUAUCUAGAUGAAUUAGCUUUCUCUAGAACGCUCUGGAUUUUUAGCCUACUUUCUGCUGUGGUUCGAUAGUAUAGAGGUCUCUUUCCAAUUUACUCCUCAAGUCAUAGGACAUAUGCAUAGACUACUUAAUGUCCUCCUGGGACUGACUGCAGGAGUCAACUGAAAGGCAUGUGAGUUUAAGAACCUUAUUUCAGGCUGGGCAUGGUGGCUCAUGUCUGUAAUCUCAGAACUUUGUGAGGCCAAGGCAGCGGAUCACCUGAAGUCAUGAGUUUGAAACCAGCCUGGCCAACAUGGCGAAACCCCGUCUCUACUAAAAAUACAAAAAUUAGCCAGGUGUGGUGGUGGGCACCUAUAAUCCCGGCUACUUGGGAGGCUGAGGCAUGAGAAUCACUUGAACCCGGGAGGAGGAGGUUGCAGUGAGCCGAGAUCGCACCACUGCACUCCAGCCUGGGCAACAGAGCAACACUCUGUCUCAAAAAAAAAAAGGAACCUUAUUUCAAAAACAAACACUACCAAAAAAAGAGUCCAAAGGCCCAUUUUAAAAAGGAUAGAAAAGGUUGAAUUUCUGGAGGAUAUUUCUCACCAUCAUGAUUCUUAAAUCCGCAAUGACUUGAGCCAGAACCAAUGGCUGAUCUAAGAUGGGGACUUAAACCCUAGGUUCACAGAAGCUUCAUUUUAGGGAUGCUGGAAGCUAUAUUAAUAGUGAUUUGGGGUUUCUUUCCUAAAUACUGCUCUUUAGUAACAAGUGUUGAAGUAGGCAAUCUCCAUUUUGACCUUGGAGAAGGCUAAUUCACACAGCAGCAGUUGCUUCUUGACAUCAUCUAAUGCAUGGGAGUACUGGGAGAGAGAAAGCAACCAGGCAGAAGGAUUAAUUGCUACCCUUGGUCCCUAAUAAAUCUAAGUUGCUUUCUGUUGAAAGCAACAUGUUAGCACCUCCAACAUACUUUUUAUUGUUGUUAGUUUCACCGUCAGUUACAAUGAUGAAGCACCAUGGAAGUGGCUUUAUGGCUAUUAACACAAUUACUGAGGUAUGCUUACAUUUGGAAUUACUAAGAUAUUAUACCAAAGCAUCCACAGAAAUAAACACACAAUUAAAAUCAAAACUCUACAGUAAGAAUCUGAAAGACUGCCCUCUCACUCAUAUAUUUAGGAAAAGUAAUAUAUUACAAAGAUAUUUUAAAGAAAAUGCUUUUGAUUUAAUUUUUUAAGAUCACAAUUAAAAGCCUUGCAGAAGUGGCCUUGCUCUUAGACUGUAGAGGCUUCGCAUAUUUGAAUAAUGAUCACUUUAUAAAGAAACCAUUGAAAUCAUAUAGGCAGCAAAAUGAUUUUAAAAAUGCGUGCACUUGCUUCUGUGCAUACUAGAGCAUUAUAAUUUCUUUCUCUCUCUCUCUUUCUUCCUCUGUUUCAGAGAACUGUGUGCAGGCCCAAGGAGAACAACUACAUGAAAUAAACCUUAUGUUUUCAGUUACAAUAAUUAGCAGUUCAUGUUUUAAAAUUUAAACAUUUAUGCUCUUAAAAUAUCUGUGGGGGAGGGUAGUGAUCCUGUGUAAAAAAAAAUUUAGCGUAUUUAGAAAGUGUUUAAGGAAGAGAAUACCAUGGAAAUUAAUUUAUAAUUCUCUAAGACUUAUGUUUUUCCCCCUGUUUUCCCAAAUAAUUCUUCCUGGAGAGGUAAAUAUAGAAUAAUCAAUGGAACUGAGAUGAUCAAUGGAAUUGAGUCUGGGAAGGGAAAUGCAGGUUUCUUUUUUUCACCAAACCACAAGAAUAUGCAAUAAAUAGCCUUGUGUGUUUCUUCCUAAGGGUUAAGAGAUUUUUUUUUUUUUGGGUCAAAGUUAAUGAACUACGACUUUGUGGACAGCUAGUAGACUUUCUAAAACAUAACUCUGGUACUGGUAUUGCUGUUGGUCUAGUGAACUGGGUGAAAACACAAUGAGCUUAAGAGGGAAUUUCACGAAAAAUAAUAUAUAAUAGGAGAUGAGGGAAGUUGGGAAUGUCAGAAGAUGUUCCUGAGAUUCUAAGGUUAUUUCUGAUCUUCAAAAAUGUUCAUCUGGGGAAGGUGCCAUUAUUGUAGGGAAAAUGCUCCUACUGAACUGACUAGAGAUACAACAGACCAGAGCUCUCUGACCCAGAGUGGCGUUUCUUAAGUUCUGGAAGAAAAUACUUAACAGUCCAGCUAAAUAGUACCAGUGGAGAUAAUGCUCCAAAUUCUUCUAGAUUUCUGCCUAAUACAAAGUAUAGUGAUUAUAUAGUUAGUGUUACACCUGCAGACACGACCCCAGCCAUUGAAACCCUUGACUCUUAGAAAUGUCAACAGGUAUUAACCAUGUCACUUCACUUAAUCUGCUCUUUAGCUGGUUUCAGGGAUGGUUAAGACUUCUGAGAACCAUACUGGGUAAAAAAACAUUCUGGAUAUGACUUAAUACAAUACUAAAUUCAGCUUCAGUGCAAUUAAUGUAUUUACAGGACCAUUUUUCCUCUAUUUACAUGAAACAGCCCUAACGGCUCCACAGCUUAUGGGCACAACUCAGCCAAAGUAUUGUUUUGACACAGCUGAUGCUUCUGUUUGCCAAGAGCUGCCCCAGAAGUUUGCAUCAUAUUUACAGUGGCAAACCUGUCUCACCAUGUCAGCUGCUGGCUAAGCAGAUAGCAAAGGAAGACUAGGACCAAAGCAAAAAAUGGUCCCAAACGGGCUUCCUAUCUCUGUGCAAGAGAGAGAACAUUUCCGACACCCUAAAAGGCACCAGGUCACCUGUUCCAUUUUUGGUCUUUUGCAUUUUUAAAUGAUUUUAGUCUAUUUUGUGGGCACAGACUUUGUAAAAAUUAUGUUCAGAGCUGUACCCGAGUCACACAGGCAAAUUACAGUCACUGAAGAAAAAUUGCUUUGGCCUCAGUAAGCAGGUAUCUUUCCCAAAAAGUCAAAACUACUACAGCUUAGAAAAGGAAAGAAUGUGUGCUAUUGAGUUGUCUGUUAAAAUCACUAUGUAUGUGUGUGUGUAUGAUGUGUGUGUGUGUGUGUGUGUGUGUGUGUGUGUGUGUGUGUAUUUAGGCUAAGAAAAGGCAGCUACUUCUUGGCACCAGGUCCUGUAUGAGGUACACUUAUUCUUUAAAGUCACUUUGGCAAUAUCAUAAAAAGUUAAUUCUAUUAUGUGCCAAUAUGGAGAAAAUAAUAGACUAUUUAUAGCAGAGUUUCUGGGAUGCCCUUGUAAGUGUGACAAUUAUCUGCCACAGAGGAGUGCCCCAGAAUACCUUGGAAUUAGAUAGUUUGGUUAACAAACAUGAAUAGUUAGGGCCGUACCGAGCUCCAAGGGCCAGUACUCCAUGCAGCGUCGUGUGGACAAGCAUGUGUGUUACACUGCUCACGAUCGGGAGGUUUAUCAAGAAUUUCACAGCUCAAAUCUGGAAACCGUUCACCGUUGGACCGCUGACAGACCACCAGUCUUGUUCUUAUGCCUCCACCACACAGCUUAGUGCACUGGAAGAAGGAAAAGGAAGGCUGCAGUUAUUUUGUCUGAAAGGCCAAUGACAAAUUUCCUUUCUCCCUAAUUUCUUAGCCAAACUCAAUUAUGGCAUUGGGCAAGGUAAGCCUCUGACAGAUGGAACCAAGGUGAAUUACCAAUAGUGAUACGUAAAACAGACCAAGACUCUCCUACUUUAAUGGCAGGUAUUAGUUAUUAAGUGCUUUCUCUUAACUUGCACUGAGGACUUUUGCAUAUAUUAUCUAAUCAAGAGGAGUGUAAUUAUUUGCCCCAUCUUAUAUAUGAAGCAAUUAAGGUGAAGGGAGGUUAAUUAACUCGAUCAAGUCCAAUCUGUUAGCAAGUAACAAAGAUCC